GAGGCCCAACUAAUCUUGGGUCUUAAAAAUGUGGUAAGCCAUUCAAAGUCUUCUAAUAAUGCCAGUGGGGUAGAUAAUGGGCCCGUGUCACCUAGGAAUUUGGUAAGUCACCCAAGACAAAAUUUUAAUGGGGGAUUCAAAGGCUUAAAGGGAAGCAACAUGCUGGAAGAUAGCAUAUCAGGCUAAGGAAACGGGUCAAAUUGUGGGCCGAGUGAAAACAAAAAAUGGUUGAAUCCGAUCGGGUUAUGGAAGAAUCGGGUCAGCUUUUCACAAACCUAGUUGCUACUGGAAAUUAGGGCAGAGACGUGGAUGGUGGGAAUGCUGGUUCAGGCUCUCACUCGCACUUUGCUGGUGAUGGAAAUAAAUCGGUAAAUAUGGCACAGGCGAGGUCAUCAUUGGAGAGAGUUGUUGACAUCACAGAUUCCAAAACAGGUGAUGGUCUCGACUUCCGAAGGCAUUUGGCGGUCACCUUUAAAUAACCUCAUGAAGCACUCGUCGAAAACCAAAGGGAAAGGAAUUCCGAUGUGAAUUCGGGGAAAGCGAAAGAUAAAGUUGCUGGGAAAUUUUUAGGGGCGAAGCAUGGAGGUUCGCGUCUUUCAAAACCCCAGAACAAAAUUAAUCUUUAAAAGGGUAGCAGAUUCAGAACUGUGGGAAAUUCCAAGGUUUUGUUACGGGAAUCAAUGGCACAUUUGGACGAAGCAAUUUCUUCUCAAGCUGUGGAAGCUUUGGGCUUAGGUGGCCCAAAUUUAAAGAUUAGGCAGGCAACAAGACAAGGGAGAAUUCCCUAAACAGUAAGGCUCUGGAGGUUUUAUUUUUAUUUUAUUAUUUGUCUAUAUUAAUUUAUAUGGAUUUAAAUCUGACCAUUUUUUGUGGAAUUGCCAAGAGUAAGUGGUAAAAAGGCUAAUUUUAUCAUUGAAAAAUUGGGUUUUUUAAUUCUCAUCAUAUUGAAGCUAUUGGAUUUUUAGGAGGAAUUUGGGUGGGUUAGAAGGAAUCUGUUAAGAUUUGAAUUAUCCAAAAUCACCCAUAGUUUAUUUUUCUAUGCGUGUCUGGUAAUGUUUAUCUAAAUCCCAUUUUAAUAUCCUAGGAAACGAAAAGCACUUUGGGAAGAUUUGAAAUUUGCUUUACCUCAUGAUUCUUUACUAUGUUUAAUUAUGGGUGACUUUAAUGUUAUCUUAUCACUUGAAGAUAAAAAAAAGUAUUUAUGCCAUAGGGAAAAGAUGUAAUCUUUUUGGAAAUUUUGUAGAUUCUUGUAAUUUGGAGGAUUUGGGAUUCAUCGGUCCAUCCUUUACUUGGCAAAAAGUUGGCACAUUUGAGAGAUUAGAUUGUGCAUUGGCUAAUGAUUCAUGGAUUUCAGCUUUUCCACAAUGCAUUGUUUCCCAUUUUUUGAGGAUUAAGUCUGAUCAUAGGCCCAUUCUUCUAAGGACCAAUCUAGAUAUUAGCUUGGCCACAGGGAGACCUUUUAGGUUCUUAGUAGGAUGGACGAAGCAUGCAAAUUUUUCGUCCUUUGUGAAAGAUAAGUGGCAGUUCUUGGGUAAUACAGAUAGUUCUCUAUCUAGUUUUACUUCACAUGUUAAAGAAUGGACAGGUCUGUUUAUGGUUUUAUAGGCUUUCAUAAAAGACAUCUUAUAAGAUCACUCUCUAAUAUCAAAAAGGCCCUAGAUCAUUCUACCUCUUCUCGGUUAAUUCAAUUAGAGAUUGAUGAGCGAGAUGAGUUGGAAAAUUUGUUGAACCAUGAUAAGCUUCUUUGGAGGCAAAAAGCUAGGUAUGACUGGCUCUAGUUUGGGGAUCGUAACACCAAAUUUUUUCAUAGUCGAAUGAUCUAAAGAAGGAAAUUUAACCAUAUCAUGGCCUUACGCAUGGAUAAUGGUGAGUGGUGUUCAGAUUAAAAUAUCCUUAAAAAUGGGGCAAUUGGUUUUUUCGAGACAUUUAAUGGCGAAAGACCAGAACCCAUGAAGGAUCUACCAUCUAACAUUUUUCCUUGUCUCAAGACCCAGGACAUUGAGUUUUUGGAAAAGUCCAUUUCAAAUGAAGAAAUUAAGAAAGCCUUCUUCAACAUGGAUCCCCCAAAAGCUCUGGGAAGCGACGGAUUUCAUGCAUAUUUUUUCUAGAGUCAGUGGGAUAUUUUAGCAAAUUCAGUUUGUGAUUGGGUGCAAGGAGUAUUCGCUGGUAACAGUAUUGACCCAAAACUAAUUAACUCAUUGUUAGUACUUAUUCCAAAGAAUGACAAGCUAAAGGACUUCAACCAAUUUCGCCCCAUUAGUUUAUACUCGGUAAUGUGUGAAUUAGUGAUGAAAAUUAUUUCUAACAGAUUUAAAUUGGUUUUUCCUAAUUUUAUCUCGUAGGAACAAGUCAGUUUCAUUGCAGGACGCAAUAUUUUGGAUAAUGUUAUCAUAACACAAUAAGUCAUACAUUCUAUGCGAAAAAAACGUGAUGGCAAAAAAUAGAUGGCAAUCAAGUUGGAUUUAGAGAAGGUUUAUGAUAGAGUAAGUUGGGAAUCUAUCGGUGCUUCACUACAGGCUGUGGAAGUCCCAAUUUUUCUCAGUUCAGUAAUUAUGGUGGCUAUCUCAUCUUCGACUAUGCAAAUUCUCUGGAAUGGAACUCCCACUCAGAAAUUCAAGCCAUCUAAAGGAAUCAGAUAGAGUUGUCCAUUGUCAACGUACCUUUUUGUGCUUUGUAUGGAAUGGUUAAGGCAUCUUAUGCAUGCGAAGAUUGAUGAAGGUAAGUGGUGUCCAAUUCAUCUUUUAAGAUCGGGUCCUAAUUUAUCUCAUAUUUUUUUUCACAGAUGAUUUGGUCAUUUUUUGUAAAGCGGAGUUAGAUCAAGCUAAAUUAUUAGCAGACAUCUUGAAUCACUUCUGUGCUUUCUUUGGACACAAAGUCAGUACUCAGAAAAGCAAUAUUUAUUUGCUGAAGGGUCACUAAAAAUACCCUAAGUUUUGUUGUGGAAAAGGUGAGGCAUAAACUACAAAGUUGGGAAGCAAGGAAGUUAUCCAUGGCCAGAAGAGUUACCCUGGUCCAAUCUAUUCUCCUUACCAUCCCUAAUUACUUUAUGCAAACCAUGUUGAUUCCGAAGGGAGUUUGUGAAGAGAUUGAGAAAAUUGCUAGAUGGUUUAUUUGGGGUUGCACUUGUUUUCAUCUAAAACUUACUUUGGUUGGGUGGAACUCCAUUUGUCAGCCAAAAUCUUGCGGUGGGUUGGGAUUUCAUCAUUUACAUUAUCGAAACAGUUCUUUUCUCAUGAAGAUUGGAUUCAACUUAGUCACUAAGGAUAAUGCCUUAUGGGUAUAAGUUCUCCGCACGAAAUACAGACUGAAAGAACAACUCUCGAAGUCAUUUGCCAAAAGCCAGUUUUUGCAUUUGUGGAGGUCCCUCUCUAAGAUAUGGCCCCUCUUAUAUGAGAACUUAGCUUGGUCAGUGGUGAAUGGUACAAGUAUUGGAUGCUAGAAGGAUUCAUGGAUCCCGAAAGUUGCCCUUUUACUUCUGCAUAUUCCCGCACAUGCUAAUUUCGAUUUGGAAUGCACCCUUAGUGAUUUGGUUACUUCCAAUAGGACUUAGAAUCUUGACCUAUUUCGUAUGUGGCUGCCUGAAGAGGUGAUUUAACAAAUUAUAAGUAUCCCUCCACAUCCUUCAUCGGGAUUGGAUAGGGUGACUUGGGCUUCCUCAGCAUCAAGUUGUUUUUCUGUUCGUAACGCUUUCUAGUCCUUAAAACAAGAUCCAUGGAAUUCUAGAGAUAUCUUCUGGAAGAAUAUAUGGAAGUAUCAGGGGCCUCAACGAGUUCGUUUUUUCCUUUGGCUAUCUAAUUCAGAAUGUUCCAGGAGGGGAAUGGGUUAUAACAGCUCUUGGUCCUUAUGUGGUCACGAAAUUGAAGACAUUCUUCAUGUACUUCGACAUUGUUUAGCUGCAAAAGAAGUGUGGAAGCAUGUGGUCCCAAUCGAUCAACAAACCAAGUUUUUUUCUAAUCCUUUUUAUAUUUGGUUAUCUUUUAAUCUUUGCUGCCCAUGAGAUUGCAGAAAAGUGGAGUUCUUUGGUCAUGUUUUUUUGGUCUCAUCAUCUGGUGAUUUAGGAGAAUAGAAAUCUGUUCAUCUUUCAAAAUGUUACUUGGUCAGCUGUUGAAAUUGUUAAAUCUUCUAUCAGUUGGGCGCAACAGUUCGAAUCAUGUCAAAACAUUCAUAAGCCCAAUAUCCCAAAACCAGAGUACCAAAAGCAUUCUAAAGGAUUGUGGCUCCAUCUUUUCUUUGAUGGUGAAGUGGAGUGAGCCAUAGAAAUGCUUCUGUUAGAGGAGUGAUACGUGAUCAGACCAGUAAUUGGAGCUUGGGUUACAAUCGAUUCUUAGGUAAAUGUAAUCCUUUUGAGGAAAAAUUUUGGGAUAUUCUUGAUGGGAUCCUCAUUCUAUUAAAUAAAUGUUACAAACGGGUCACAAUUCAGACUGACAAUUUAGACGUGGCAAAGGCAUUGUCCGACAAAGAACUGGAAGAUUUAUGCAACAAAGUUCUUAGAAGGGUUAAAAAGAUUAUGCGUUCUGAAGGAAAGUGGCGGGUCAAAGUUGUGUGUAGGGAAACAAACUUACUUGUAGAUCAAUUGGCUAAGGUCUGCCUUACAUGGAAGUCAAGUUUACAAAAUUUUGAUGUGCCUCCAUAUGAGGUAAUAGAGGUCCUUCAACAAGACAAAGCUUGUGGUGCUUUUAAUCUUUUGAGUUAAUAAUAAUUUUGUUUUUCAUUCACCAAAAAAUAUAUGUGACUUAAAAACCUUGUAAUAUAUCUACUCAAAUGUUUUAAUCCAUUUAUAUUUUUCUAAUUUGUAUUAAAUUGUCAACAAAAAGUUGGGAACGGAA